ACGACUGUAAUUGGCAAUUGAAAUUGAUAAAAUUGGAAUAAAUCAACUGCUCGCUGUUUGUUUUUUGGUGAAGUAAAAAUUAAUAGGCGUUGAUUGCUGCAAUUGAUUUAAACAUAUUGCAUCACAUUAAUUUGAUCUAGAUGCUUGAUGUAUUCUUUUAGUUUAUGGAUGAGAUAUUUGUGUAUCUUAUACAAGGUUAUGCAUUUCUUCUAUUGGUGCUUUCUUUUCAAUAAAUUGAUCCGCUCCUUCCAUAAAAGCCCUUGAGACCUCAUUGCCUUUCCGCUUGUUGCUUUUGUAUGCAGUGGUUUGACCUGCACGACAUCUGUGACUUAACAUUUCUGUUUUUAACCUUAUAUAAUUAUUUUGGCAGCUGAUAUCCGUGUCCAUGAAUUCUUCAAGACCUCUUAUUUCAAGACGGGAAUUCAUCCAAUUCCCGGUGCUCGACAGGCUCUUCAAAAGAUGUCUAAAUUCUGUAACCUGUCAAUUGUGACGUACAUAGUUUGAGGACCCUUUGGUUGCUUCAAUUAAUUGUUAACUUCCACAUUGAGUAUUUUUUUGAGAACUAAGUUGACCAAUAUUCUGAUAGGUCCCGGCAAAACGCCAUUAAAGCUCACACAAUUGAGUGGAUUGAGAGGCAUUAUCCUGGAUUGUUUCAGGAUAUGCACUUUGGCAAUCACUUUGCAUUGAAUGGGCAGUCUAUAGCUAAAUCAGAUAUUUGCAGGUAAUAUCAUUAGUCUCCUUACGCAUUUGCUUUUAUCUUGCUCUAUUUUUCUGCAAGGCCUGAAUGGGCAGUCCAUAGCUAAAUCAGAUAUUUGCAGGUAAUAUCAUCAGUCUCCUUACGCAUUCUGCUUUUAUCUUUCUCUUUGUUCUAUUUUUCUGCAAGGAAAUGUCAUAAAGCAGUAGAUUGUCUCCACUCUCAUUUUGGUAUCUAGCUAGCUGACCAUUGUUUAUUGGCAUAGAAUAUGGAAUCUUUUGUAUGUAAGCUGGUUGUACAAAGUUAGUUUGUUUAUAUUCCAGAAUUUUGUAUGUAAUAUUGUAUUCUUGGACCCGUGAAACACUUUAUAUUCGCUGUUCGACUAACUCUAUAUAACUGCUUCUGCUAGGUCUUUGGGAGCAAAUGUUUUGAUUGAUGACAAUCCAAGGUAUGCUAUCGAGUGUGCGGAAGCUGGAAUUAAGGUUCUUCUCUUUGAUUAUGAAAAUUCAUACCCAUGGUCCAAGAGUGAGUCACUUAAUGGGCAUCCUAUGGUUAAGAAAGUGCACAACUGGAGAGAAGUGGAGCAUCAGUUAGUUUCAUGGAUAGUUCCCAGGAAUUCCUCUCCAAAUUAGACUCAAAAUUAAUUAAAAAAAAUGUAUGAUUUGUAUUCUAUUUGACUUCAUAUAUUAAACCAAUCGUAAACCUGCUUGAAGGCGACCAUAAAGUGAAGCCUCAGCUAUUAGAAGUUGGUAAUCAGUAGAAUAAUCAUAUCAUCUUUUAUUUUUUGUUCCAUUUGCCUUUCUACUCUGCACAGAUAUAAAAUCAGUGUGUUAGUAGUAAAACUUCUUUUUAUAGGUUAAAGCUGACAGUCUCAUUAUACUUGCAACCCAUAAAGGUACACAAUAUUACACCAAUUCAUUUCCUGGUUGACGUAUGUGCUUCUGUUUUUGUUGUGAUUGAAUUGUUAGAAAAAUGUACAAAAGCACGUUGUAGAGAUAAAUUGAGAAAUUUAAGCUAAAUUGUUUCAAAAAUAGAAAGGUCACUUUCUUUUUGAAACUAAUUAAUAAAGAAAUAAUACCACAUAGAAUGAAAUAGAGAUAGUACUAAACUAUGAAGGAAAUGUAUUAUAAAAGAAAUUCUUAUAUAAUAUACAGGACAGAGUUAGAGUUAUGUACAUUAAUGAAAUUGAUUUCGCCUGCUGAUUUACUAGGAGGCAAUUUGACACCCUUCAGAAAAAAAGAAUUUAUUUUGAUGUCAAGUUGGUCAUACUGCAACCACGUUGUAAAGACCAAUCGUCUGUAAACAUUAUUCGAUCUUCUCCAGCAACUUGAAUCCAUAUGCCUCCAAAAUAUCCAGUGCUGCAAAUUUACAUAAAAUGAGCUAUUAUGUCACUAACUGUUUCUUUUCCAACAAAACCAGCGCUGACAAAUGAUAUAAACAGAGACAAUUUAUCAGCUAUAUGCUAUGGUAACUGCUGAUAUAACACAAGUAGACUGAUUCCAACUAAAGCAUAUCUGGAGUUCAUUUGUUUGCUUAUUUUACAAGCAAGCGACUGUUCUAAUAUUUUGCUGAAAGGGAAGGAUUGUUUUUCUCUCUCUUUUUUGAGGGUGGGGGUUGNN
rnacentral:lncRNA from 1 species